rnacentral:rRNA from 1 species
UGGGGAAUAUUGCGCAAUGGAGGAAACUCUGACGCAGCGACGCCGCGUGGGUGAUGAAGGCCUUCGGGUUGUAAAGCUCUGUCGGCUGGGAAAAAGAUUUUUGUGCUAAUACCACAGAAGUUUGAUGGUACCAGCAAAGGAAGCACCGGCUAACUCUGUGCCAGCAGCCGCGGUAAUACAGAGGGUGCAAGCGUUGUUCGGAAUUACUGGGCGUAAAGGGCGCGUAGGCGGCUCUGUAAGUCAGAUGUGAAAACCCGGGGCUUAACUCCGGAAGUGCAUUUGAAACUAUAGGGCUAGAGUGCAGUAGAGGUUGGCGGAAUACCCAGUGGAGAGGUGAAAUUCGUAGAUAUUGGGUAGAACACCGGUGGCGAAGGCGGCCAACUGGGCUGUAACUGACGCU